rnacentral:rRNA from 1 species
CAUGUAGGCGGUUGUUUAAGUCUGAUGUGAAGGCCCUGGGCUCAACCCAGGAAGUGCAUUGGAUACUGGGCAACUUGAGUACGGGAGAGGAAAGUGGAAUUUCGAGUGUAGGGGUGAAAUCCGUAGAUAUUCGAAGGAACACCAGUGGCGAAGGCGGCUUUCUGGACCGAUACUGACGCUGAGAUGCGAAAGCGUGGGGAGCAAACA